rnacentral:rRNA from 1 species
UGUUGGUAAAUCUCGUGCCAGCCACCGCGGUUAUACGAGAGACCCUAGUUAACAGAUACGGCGUAAAGAGUGGUUAAGGAACCAUUAAAAUAAAGCCAAACACUCCCCAGGCCGUCAUACGUUCUCUGGGAGCACGAAGUCCAAAUACGAAAGAAGCUUUAACAUACACCUGACCCCACGAAAGCUAAGGAACAAACUAGGAUUAGAUACCCCA